rnacentral:rRNA from 1 species
UACGUAGGGUGCGAGCGUUGUCCGGAAUUAUUGGGCGUAAAGAGCUUGUAGGUGGUUUGUCGCGUCUGCUGUGAAAAUCCGAGGCUCAACCUCGGACUUGCAGUGGGUACGGGCAGACUAGAGUGUGGUAGGGGAGACUGGAAUUCCUGGUGUAGCGGUGGAAUGCGCAGAUAUCAGGAGGAACACCGAUGGCGAAGGCAGGUCUCUGGGCCAUUACUGACACUGAGGCACGGAAG